rnacentral:misc_RNA from 1 species
AAGGAAAAAAAAAAGAACAAGUCUCGGUGUGUUUCAUGUGGUUGGAAUUCGCGUGUGCGGCGACUUAACGAGAGAGUUCGAUCAGAUUUUCGUUAAACGCUUUUUCGCGAGUGAUAAAUUGUGUCGUUGCGUGCGGAAAUAGGACAUAAGCAGGAAAGAAGGAUAGGCGAGAGAAAAAGUGGAGAAAAAGUGAACAGCCUUUCAUUCCUCGACGCAUCCACCACGGAGUGAUGAAAGCGGCAUAGCAACGGCAAUAGAGCUCUAUCCAACGUCCAAGAGGCACGUAUUAUGUGAGGUGAAACUUGCAACGAGGCAAACGAAGAUGUCCGCCAUCAGCGUGGCUGCAUGGCUGCUCAGCGCCGUUGCAUUCGCCGCGAUUAAUAACGUUCCUGGAUUAUAAAUUCCUGGAUCUGGCUACACAUAAGUUCUGCAUUCAUAAAUCAAUUAAUCAACUGUGGCAUAUUUCACGGCAUCAGCGAUUCCAUAAACCAGCGAUACCCCGGAUGGAACUCGUAAGUUUCAGAACAACUGUAUUCAAGAUCCUUCGAUCUGACAAUGGCGAUCCUAACAACCUGUCUUUACCGAAAACUUGCGAGUAAAGAUAGCAGGACUCUAAAUUGUAAUAAAAGAUACGAAACAUGACGGUAUCUC